rnacentral:rRNA from 1 species
UACAGAGACUGCAAGCGUUAUUCGGAUUCACUGGGCGUAAAGGGUGCGCAGGCGGCCAAGUGUGUUAGGCGUGAAAGCCCGGGGCUUAACCCCGGAAUUGCACCUAAAACUACAUGGCUAGAGCAUUGGAGAGGGUAGCGGAAUUCACGGUGUAGCAGUGAAAUGCGUAGAUAUCGUGAGGAACACCAGAGGCGAAGGCGGCUACCUGGACAAUUGCUGACGCUUAGGCACGAAAGCGUGGGGAGCAAAAGGG